rnacentral:rRNA from 1 species
CUGAUGCAGCGACGCCGCGUGAGGGAUGAAGGCCUUCGGGUUGUAAACCUCUUUCAGCAGGGAAGAAGCGCAAGUGACGGUACCUGCAGAAGAAGCGCCGGCUAACUACGUGCCAGCAGCCGCGGUAAUACGUAGGGCGCAAGCGUUGUCCGGAAUUAUUGGGCGUAAAGAGCUCGUAGGCGGUUUGUCGCGUCUGGUGUGAAAACUCAAGGCUCAACCUUGAGCUUGCAUCGGGUACGGGCAGACUAGAGUGCGGUAGGGGUGACUGGAAUUCCUGGUGUAGCGGUGGAAUGCGCAGAUAUCAGGAGGAACACCGAUGGCGAAGGCAGGUCACUGGGCCGCAACUGACGCUGAGGAGCGAAAGCAUGGGGAGCGAACAGGAUUAGAUACCCUGGUAGUCCAUGCCGUAAACGUUGGGCACUAGGUGUGGGGCUCAUUCCACGAGUUCCGUGCCGCAGCAAACGCAUUAAGUGCCCCGCCUGGGGAGUACGGCCGCAAGGCUAAAACUCAAAGGAAUUGACGGGGGCCCGCACAAGCGGCGGAGCAUGCGGAUUAAUUCGAUGCAACGCGAAGAACCUUACCAAGGCUUGACAUACACCGGAACUUCCAGAGAUGGUUGCCCCGCAAGGUCGGUGUAC